rnacentral:lncRNA from 1 species
GAGUUCCAUUUCCCAUGACCAAAAAAGAAGCAUUUGAAUAUGAAGCUGUCGUAUUUAACCCGGAAGUAUUCUGACAGACAUGAUGAGUGGCUCCUGAAUCUAGAUACCAGGACGAGGUCCCUACUGGUACAGGAACAUACGAAUCAGUGUUAUCAAAAUUAGAGUCAUAUUGUGUGGCAGCUGAAAAAUCAGAUGCACGAAAGUUAGGAAUUCAGGGCAGCCCAACACCCUUAGAGGAGUCAAAAUUAAAUACUCGAGCAUGAAGUUUAUUCCACCACGUAACCUCGAGACUAUUAUGUCGCAUAGAGCUGUCAAAGCCCGCAUAACUAGUAACGGGCUCAGAAGGAUUCUGUGCAAAAUUUUGACCAGCAUUAACAUAUCCAUUAUGCGGCCCACUAGGACUAUUCAGCCCAAACGACUAGUUUGAAAUAGUUGGCCUAGGCACCCCAGCAGCAGGCUCAAACUGUUGUUGGCCCAAGUUAUACCCAAAAGGAGACCCAAAUCCGUGCUCCAUAUCACGCCCAAAUACACGGCUUAAAUUACUUCCAUACUCACGCCCACUUUGCGACUGUACACACGGGCCAUACACCACAUGCGGGCCAGCCUGAGACCAAAUACAACCAUCAGUAAAAUAAUUAGGGUUCCUCCAAUUGAAAACCCCAUAUCCAAAUGCUGAAGACCACGGCCACCUUUCCUAUGAAGUCAGUUCGACCUCCAGAUGCUGCCUAGAUCCAUCAUAGGCAAGACAGCCGC